UACGUAGGAGGCAAGCGUUGUCCGGAAUUACUGGGCGUAAAGCGCGUGUAGGUGGUGGGACAAGUCUGCUGUGAAAGCGCCUGGCUUAACCGGGCGAGGUCGGCGGAAACUGUUCGACUCGAGGACGGUAGAGGGGGGUGGAAUUCCCGGUGUAGUGGCGAAAUGCGUAGAGAUCGGGAGGAACACCUGUGGCGAAGGCGGCCUCCUGGGCCGGCCCUGACACUGAGACGCGAAGGCGUGGGGAGCGAACGGG
rnacentral:rRNA from 1 species